rnacentral:rRNA from 1 species
AGUGAACGCUGGCGGUAGGCCUAACACAUGCAAGUCGAACGAGUGGCGGACGGGUGAGGAAUACAUCGGAAUAUACUCUGUCGUGGGGGAUAACGUAGGGAAACUUACGCUAAUACCGCAUACGAUUGAAUGAGCCGAUGGCGGAUUAGCGAGUUGGCGGGGUAAAGGCCCACAAAGGCGACGAUGCGUAGCUGGUCUGAGAGGCUGAUCGGCCACAUUGGAACUGAUACACGGUCCAGACUCCUACGGGAGGCAGCAGUGGGGAAUAGUGGACAAUGGGCGAAAGCCUGAGCCAGCCAUACCGCGUGGGUGAAGAAGGCUUUCGGGUUGUAAAGCCCUGUUGUUGGGAAAGCGGUACCCAAAGAGUAAGCACCGGCUAACUUCGUGCCAGCAGCCGCGGUAAUUC